CCUACGGGAGGCUGCAGUGAGGAAUAUUGGUCAAUGGUCGGGAGACUGAACCAGCCAAGCCGCGUGAGGGAGGAAGGUACAGAGUAUCGUAAACCUCUUUUGUCAGGGAACAAAGGCGGGGACGUGUCCCCGGAUGAGUGUACCUGAAGAAAAAGCAUCGGCUAACUCCGUGCCAGCAGCCGCGGUAAUACGGGGGAUGCGAGCGUUAUCCGGAUUUAUUGGGUUUAAAGGGGGCGCAGGCGGUCUUGUAAGUCAGCGGUCAAAGCCCGGGGCUCAACCCCGGCCCGCCGUUGAAACUGGCAGUCGCGAGUUGGAGAGAAGUAUGCGGAAUGCGCGGUGUAGCGGUGAAAUGCAUAGAUAUCGCGCAGAACUCCGAUUGCGAAGGCAGCAUGCCGGCUCCACACUGACGCUGAGGCACGAAAGCGUGGGUAUCGAACAGGAUUAGAUACCCGGGUAGUC
rnacentral:rRNA from 1 species